rnacentral:rRNA from 1 species
GACGAACGCUGGCGGCGUGCUUAACACAUGCAAGUCGAACGAAGUGGCGAACGGGUGAGUAACGCGUAAUCAACCUGCCCUUCAGAGGGGGACAACAGUUGGAAACGACUGCUAAUACCGCAUACUGACGGUGGGGACUUCGUCGUUUUAGCUAGUUGGAGGGGUAACGGCCCACCAAGGUGAUGAGCAGGAGCCGGGCUGAGAGGAUGAACGGCAACAAUGGGACGGAGACAGGGCCCAGACUCCUACGGGAGGCAGCAGUGGGGAAACUACCGCAAUGGACGAAAGUCUGACGGAGCAACGCCGCGGGAGUGAUGACGGCCUUCGAGUUGUAAAGCUCUGUUAAUCGGGACGCGGUACCGGAAUAGAAAGCCACGGCUAACUACGUGCCAGCAGCCGCGGUAAUAC